GGGAUUCUUAUCGUCGUCGUUGUCCGAUGAAGCCGCCUCCAACAUACAACCUGAAAUGCCUUACGUUUCCAUUAAUUUGGUCCUUUAAUCCUAGCAUUAACAAGCUUCGUCCCACUACGCAACAUUAAUUCGAGCUCGGACUCUUCGUAUGUGGUUCAAAGCUCUCCUAUAAAUUGCCAUCUCUGGAGUGAUGAAGACCGAUGUAUCUACGAAAACUACAAGUAUCAUCUCUGCAUAUUAUCGCCGCCGACAAUGGCGAAUUCAUUCACCCUACUUGCUGAUCUGAAAGCAGGUCGAUGUUCAACCACAACAGCCGUUUUUUUUUUUUUUUUGCUCUUUGUAAGCCUCUCUACAGUCACGCUGAAUCCUUAACUGCUUAUGUCUGACCUCCACAUGAAUUGAAUUUACUUUGCUGAAAGGAACAUGAGUUGAGUUUCUUAGAUAUGAUGGAAAGCUGGCUCAGAAGGCGAGAGAAAAGGUCUUAAAGGGUUUCAAUCAAAUCAAACAGAAAAUAAUAAGUUGAUGAAUCGUUUCUAACAAAACUUCAAACGCUUUUUAAAUUGGAUUAUUGGAACAUAGAGCUUAAAAGUUUGUAUGCUUCUACAGGUUCUGCUUAUAUCUAAGAACGCUGGAGGAGUUGGUCUGAAUUUGACCGCAGCUUCAAACGUCUUCUGAAUGAAUCCAUGGUGGACUCCGGCUAUGGAAGAGGAAGCAAUCAUGAGAAUCCAUCGCAUACAGCAUAAAAGAAUUCUAGAGGGCUUGGUGAAAGAAACGCUGAAAUGGUGCAGAGAAAUCACAUGGAACAGCCUACUGCAGUUUGUGUGCUUAAAGCAGGACUGCACUCAGUGAUGAGAAUGACAGACUUUAAGAAUGUCUUUUCCACAUACUUAUUAGUUGCAGUGACAGAGACAGACUCAUUAUAAAAGGAUUUGUAAUUUUUUUACUGCAGGGGCUAGGACGCGAUGAAGGAGACACUCCUAUUCUAUGGAACCGAAGAAGCAAUUGAAGAAUGUCUUACUGCAUGGGCUUGGAGGCAAUGCCACACUCUUAUUCUAUGUUAACGUAUCUUGCUACUUUUCCAUGUGGAGCAGUCCCUUUCACUGCAGAAGAAGAGCGACCACCAGAUCUUACAUGUGAUGGUGCUGCCAAAAAAUCUGAGUAUGUUCAUGUGUAAGUAUCUGCUGCUGGAACUGAGCUUUAAGGAAUUGUAAGACGUCAGUAAUAAGGCUGCAAGUUUUUCCACUGGGAUGAUGUGGCAGUAACAUAAUCAGGCUGAGAAUAAGUCAUUCAUCCAUCGUUGUUGCUGCAGUAGGAGGCCAAGUAAUAGAAACAAAGUUGCGGUCUCUGGAUGGAUUGUCAAAAAAAAAAACAGCAUCAGACCAUUCAUUGAUGGGGUCUUCAGUAAUUCUUUUCUGGGUCCACGACAUGAGCUGAACAGCUUCCAUCUCAUGUUUGUUCUGGUGAACAACGGGAGCUGUAGAUACGAACUGGUAGCCUUUGGAAGAGGAAUUCAAAUUUGCAGGGGCAGAAUCACUUGAAAAAGAGGUAAACGACAUGGAAAAGUUUUGUGCAUGCAUAUGAGCAUGCAUGAUCUUGCCAUAUAGCCCUCCUUUAUAAGUGUGCUACCCCUUGAAUCUCGAUUAUCUCUUUUAACUUUGGCCUUAGGCUUUUGAGAUUGUUGAGAGUGUAUCUGAAUAUUAGCUUGGCUUGAGACGCUUUUCACACUAA